UCAUUACGCCAAAACGCCAAAAUCAGGCUGGAAAUGAUAAGGAGAUGGAUAUGUUUAUACUGGGUGACGAUGGUUUCAUGGGAUACAUUAAAGCAGGUAAAUGCAUUAAUGGUAAAUGGGACACAACAGAGAGCCAUUCUACUAUUCUGUGCAAUUCUAGUGGAUCAUCAGUAACAACAAAACCAAUCAACAUGAGUGUCUUUUCGUAUGAAGAAAAUACAACUUAUACAGAAAGCUUGUUUAACAGCAGUGACGAUAGUGUGAUUUUAUCAAGAUACUCACCAUACAAUCUCAGCAUAAACAGAGCUGUUAUACCCACAUUUGUCUGUUUAAUUGAAGGGAAUUGCACAAAUAAUACUUUGAACACUUGGAUUAAUGAAGGAUGUAACUGGACCAACAAAACCACUGAAUAUUUUACAUACACAAGUGAGUACAAUUCUAAAAAUGUUUAAGUGUUUUUAUUAAUAUUAAAGAUAUAUUAGACUAAUAAAAGAGCUAGUGCUGUAAUUCCUGUAAAUGGACUGGUAAACCAAUAUGUUGUAACAUAGUCAGUGACAGAUUUGACAGACAUUUUAACACUAACCUUAUAAAGUAUUUGCAUAGUAUAUAUGGAAUAUUACAGUUGUAUUAUUUGCAUAGCUUGUAAUAUUGUUCUUUGUGUGUGUGUGUGUGUGUGUGUGUGUGUAAGAAUGUCAAAUGACCUGCCUGAAUGUGACAAAGUUAUGUGAGAAUGCAGAAUAUGAUUCCAGCUGUAGCGAUGAUAAUUCAGGUGAUGAUGAUAAAAUAAACAAAAUUGGGAUCUUUAAUAAAACUGCAACUUGUUAUAAGUGUGGAAGUCCUUUUCAAGUUGUGGAAGCAGUCCCUUUACCCGAUGAAUUAUCAAAACAAUUUGAUGCUAAUAAAACGGAGACAGAUGCUGGGACAGCUGCUGGGGCUAUGAAAAAUCUCUCCAGUCUGCUGUCUUUUAUGGGGAAUUUGACCGUUGCCUCUAUAUCCAUGGGUAAUGUUAAAGGGGUUUUAAAGAAAAUUCAAAGUGAGUCCAAAAUCACAACGUCCUACUUCAUCUACUCUUCAACAACUGGCAUCAGAGUUUUAGAUGAUGUUGCUGUACUGAAGAAUUAUCCCAACGCUUUUGGUAUUCCAGCAGAAGCAGCUAACCAAGCACUCAACCAAAGUACAGGAAGCGCUUUUAUAGGUGUUUUCCGCUUUCCUAACAUGUCAAAGGAUGCAGAGAAUAGUACGGUUUUGAAUGAUGAGGUUUAUGCAAUCGAAAUGGGGACAAAAAUGUCAAAUCUGAGUGACCCCAUCAGCUUUACAUUCAAAUAUCAGGAGACUAAGGAAACUCCUGUUUGUCACUCAUGGGAUGGAAGCGGAAAUAAGCCAAACUGGACAACGGAAGGGUGCAUUACCUUUGAAGGAGGAAACAAUGUAACAUGUCGAUGCAAUCAUUUGACUUUCUUCGCUGUGCUUAUGAUCUCUCCAGACAUAACCAUUUCUGAAAGCGACCUCACUGCUCUCACCUACAUCACUUACAUCGGCUGCGGCCUCUCCUUGUUUUUCCUGUCCAUCGGGCUCUUCAUGCACUUCCUCAUGAGGAGAGUGAAGGCCACUGAUUCUAUCCGUGUGCUGAUUAAUCUCUUCGUGGCGCUGUUCCUGCUCAAUGUGGCCUUCCUGUCGAAUGAGUACAUAGCACGUAUGAAGGACGUCAACGCCUGCAAGAUCAUGGCUGGAUUCAUGCACUACUGCUUGCUGGCCAGUUUCAACUGGUUCGCAGUGGAGGCUUUUCACCUCUGCCUGCAGAUGGCCAAACACUCAGUCACCAUCAAACAUUACAUGAUCAAGAUCUCUGUGGUUGGUUGGGGUCCUCCUGCUCUUGUUGUCAGUAUCAUUUACGUCUUGGGAAAAUAUGGUGAGCAGACCAUAAAAACAGAGACGAGCAACGUAACUAUGUGCUGGAUUUUAGACUCUAAUAUCCACUACUAUGUGAACAUCGGUUAUUACUGCCUCAUCUUCAUCUUCACCUUCAGCACCUUCAUUGUGGUGCUGCGAUGGCUCUCCAUGCUGAAGCUCAGCAAGCUGAACAAGGUUGGAAAGGUGAAGCGCUCAGGAACCGACACCUCUGACAUCACCACCAUCCUGGGCCUCUGCUGCAUGCUGGGACUCACCUGGAGUUUCGCCUUCUUCAGCUACGGAGCUAUGCGUCUGCCCUCGUAUUACAUAUUCACCAUCCUGAACUCCUUCCAAGGAUUUUUCUUGUUCAUAUAUUACUUGAAAGCAAGCACCCUCUUUGGAGACUCAGCGCCUUCAGAGGAGAGUGACACGACUGAAGAAACUGUUACAGAAAAUCCAUACGAAGACCUAGCAACAGAAGACACCAAAAAAAUAAUCUGACUGUAUACAUUUGAAAUGACCUGUCUAUUGAUAUUUUACCUUCAUUUGUAUUAUAAAACAAAUAUGGCUAUGAGGAAUGCGUCUCUUGUGGAGGUGGAGGCAGAUGUAGAGGAGGAAGAACAUUUUGGGCCGCAACCGGUUUCACGUCUGGAG